rnacentral:rRNA from 1 species
GCCUAUAGCCUCACCACCCUGAAAGCGACUGAUUUCGGAAGCGAUCCAGGGCCGGGCCUGAUUAGUACCUCGGUGGGAGACCGCCUGGGAAUUCCAGGUGUCGUAGGCU